rnacentral:rRNA from 1 species
UCUGACGGAGCACGCCGCGUGAGUGAUGAAGGUUUUCGGAUCGUAAAGCUCUGUUGUUAGGGAAGAACAAGUACCGUUCGAAUAGGGCGGUACCUUGACGGUACCUAACCAGAAAGCCACGGCUAACUACGUGCCAGCAGCCGCGGUAAUACGUAGGUGGCAAGCGUUGUCCGGAAUUAUUGGGCGUAAAGGGCUCGCAGGCGGUUUCUUAAGUCUGAUGUGAAAGCCCCCGGCUCAACCGGGGAGGGUCAUUGGAAACUGGGGAACUUGAGUGCAGAAGAGGAGAGUGGAAUUCCACGUGUAGCGGUGAAAUGCGUAGAGAUGUGGAGGAACACCAGUGGCGAAGGCGACUCUCUGGUCUGUAACUGACGCUGAGGAGCGAAAGCGUGGGGAGCGAACAGGAUUAGAUACCCUGGUAGUCCACGCCGUAAACGAUGAGUGCUAAGUGUUAGGGGGUUUCCGCCCCUUAGUGCUGCAGCUAACGCAUUAAGCACUCCGCCUGGGGAGUACGGUCGCAAGACUGAAACUCAAAGGAAUUGACGGGGGCCCGCACAAGCGGUGGAGCAUGUGGUUUAAUUCGAAGCAACGCGAAGAACCUUACCAGGUCUUGACAUCCUCUGACAAUCCUAGAGAUAGGACGUCCCCUUCGGGGGCAGAGUGACAGGUGGUGCAUGGUUGUCGUCAGCUCGUGUCGUGAGAUGUUGGGUUAAGUCCCGCAACGAGCGCAACCCUUGAUCUUAGUUGCCAGCAUUCAGUUGGGCACUCUAAGGUGACUGCCGGUGACAAACCGGAGGAAGGUGGGGAUGACGUCAAAUCAUCAUGCCCCUUAUGACCUGGGCUACACACGUGCUACAAUGGACAGAACAAAGGGCAGCGAAACCCGCGAGGUUAAGCCAAUCCCACAAUCUGUUCUCAGUUCGGAUCGCAGUCUGCAACUC